rnacentral:rRNA from 1 species
AUUGAACGCUGGCGGCAUGCCUUACACAUGCAAGUCGAACGGCAGCACGGGUGCUUGCACCUGGUGGCGAGUGGCGAACGGGUGAGUAAUACAUCGGAACAUGUCCUGUAGUGGGGGAUAGCCCGGCGAAAGCCGGAUUAAUACCGCAUACGAUCUACGGAUGAAAGCGGGGGACCUUCGGGCCUCGCGCUAUAGGGUUGGCCGAUGGCUGAUUAGCUAGUUGGUGGGGUAAAGGCCUACCAAGGCGACGAUCAGUAGCUGGUCUGAGAGGACGAGCAGCCACACUGGGACUGAGACACGGCCCAGACUCCUACGGGAGGCAGCAGUGGGGAAUUUUGGACAAUGGGCGGAAGCCUGAUCCAGCAAUGCCGGGUGUGUGAAGAAGGCCUUCGGGUUGUAAAGCACUUUUGUCCGGAAAGAAAUCCUUGGCCCUAAUACGGUCGGGGGAUGACGGUACCGGAAGAAUAAGCACCGGCUAACUACGUG